UCCUUAAAUAAAGAAAGACUCUUUCACAUUGUUAUUAUCAUCAGAAGGGAAAGAAGAAAAACUUUCCUAAUUAGAUCGAGCUCUUCGUUAUCUCUCUAUUAUAGUUUAUAUUUCUUACUGGGGCUUGUUUGGUUGCUUCUCUUUUUGGACUUCUUUUAUAUAAUUUAUAUAUUCUACGAGAAAUGGGAAGGGGUAGGGUUGAAAUGAAGAGGAUAGAGAACAAGAUCAACCGACAAGUGACGUUUUCGAAAAGAAGAGCUGGUCUUUUGAAGAAAGCCCAUGAGAUCUCGAUCCUUUGUGAUGCUGAGGUUUCCCUUAUUGUCUUCUCCCAUAAGGGGAAACUGUUCGAGUACUCGUCUGAAUCUUGCAUGGAGAAGGUACUAGAACACUACGAGAGGUACUCUUACGCCGAGAAACAGCUAAAAGUUCCAGACUCUCACGUCAAUGCACAAACGAACUGGUCAGUGGAAUAUAGCAGGCUUAAGGCUAAGAUUGAGCUUUUGGAGAGAAACCAAAGGCAUUAUCUGGGCGAAGAUUUAGAAUCAAUCAGCAUAAAGGAGCUACAGAAUCUGGAGCAGCAGCUUGACACUUCUCUUAAACAUAUUCGCUCGAGAAAAAAUCAACUAAUGCACGAGUCCCUCAACCACCUCCAAAGAAAGGAGAAAGAAAUACUGGAGGAAAACAGCAUGCUUGCCAAACAGAUAAGGGAGAGGGAGAGUAUCCUAAGGACACAUCAAAACCAAUCAGAGCAGCAAAACCGCAGCCACCAUGUAGCUCCUCAGCCGCAACCGCAGUUAAAUCCUUACAUGGCAUCAUCUCCUUUCCUAAAUAUGGGGUAACGUGGCAUGUACCAAGGAGAAUAUCCAACGGCGGUGAGGAGGAACCGUCUCGAUCUGACUCUUGAACCCAUUUACAACUGCAACCUUGGUUACUUUGCCGCAUGAAUGGACUCGCCAUAUAUCGACAUAAAAUAAUUUAUAUAAGAUCGAUUUUUACGUAUAAUAAUAGGCAGCAAUGGUUAGCCACCAUAUCUAUAUACACCGGAAAUUCUAUUUAUCCUUAAUUAAUAUAUUUAACUUUUUGAGUGAAACUAUUCUGUGUAAAAUUCGUUACAUUGAUUUAUACUACAUAAACCCUCCAGACCAAACUCGUCUCCAUGCCAACUGAUAGAUUUCCUAGACAUGCUACACACUCCAUGACUCCGACUAAUUUUUGGUUUGGCGUUUUCUAUGUUUUUAUUGAUUGUUUUGAAUUUUACUCUUUCACGAUAUUUAAAAUUUUUCAAACUUAUUUUUGUUGCUCCUAGUGAACAAAUCCUCUGUGAAGAAGUGGUAUAUAUUCUGUGGAGCCACUUCCCCAAUGUUCUUUGGUGGAUCCAGAUGAACUGUGUGCAUUACGUUUGUGUUCAUUCUAUCAUAGGCCUAAUUUGGCGAAACACUACCGUUGAGAGAUUCACCGCUGCGAAAAGAAAAUAACUUUGUAUCAACUAUUUUUCGAAUGUAUUGAAACAGAAGGCUGGUCAGCCAACAGAUAGUCCCGCCCAUAGAGAAAAUUCUGUCAGACAAGAAGAAACAAUCAAUUCUACUUUUUUCUUUCUAUAUUACAGCUUUUAUUUCUUUUUAAGAAACGAUAUAUAUUGCCAUACUUUUUUUUUUUGAGCAACAUGUCAUACUUUAAAGACGACAAAUUCACUGG